rnacentral:rRNA from 1 species
UACGAAGGGAGCUAGCGUUGUUCGGAAUCACUGGGCGUAAAGCGCACGUAGGCGGAUGUGUCAGUCAGGGGUGAAAUCCCGGAGCUCAACUUCGGAACUGCCUUUGAUACUGGAGAUCUCGAGUCCGGGAGAGGUGAGUGGAACUGCGAGUGUAGAGGUGAAAUUCGUAGAUAUUCGCAAGAACACCAGUGGCGAAGGCGGCUCACUGGCCCGGUACUGACGCUGAGGUGCGAAAGCGUGGGGAGCAAACAGG